AUCCAUAUCUGGGGUUUUCCCGCCGACGUUCCAUGUCGCUGCAAAUACCCUGUUAGACGCAGACAACGGAACAGACAAAAUAUUAUUUGAAUUUGAGCUUCACACAAAAAACACAAGGUUAUUUGUGGCAUGCAUUGUGGUGAGUUGACACCGCUCAAUUUUAGGCUUGUACUUUUGGAGAAGGAUGAGGAUGAUCCUGAUGGCGAAGCCACCAAUGACGGCUCUGGACUCUCUUGGAAAUCUAGUGCAAACAAGAACAAACUUUAGAAUUUGCAUAAAUAAGUUAGCAACUUUUUGCAGAUUUUAGUGUUAACUCAGACAUGAAUUUUUCAAUGGCAACCAUUUCAUCGAUGGAAUGGAGAGAAAGAGAGAGAAGCACUUUUUGCUG